rnacentral:rRNA from 1 species
UACGUAGGCAGCGAGCGUUGUUCGGAGUUACUGGGCGUAAAGGGGGUGUAGGCGGUUGUUUAAGGUUGGGGUGAAAUCUCCCGGCUCAACUGGGAGGGUGCGCCGAAUACUGAAUGACUUGGAGUGCGGGAGAGGAAAGUGGAAUUCCUGGUGUAGCGGUGAAAUGCGUAGAUAUCAGGAGGAACACCGGUGGUGUAGACGGCUUUCUGGACCGUAACUGACGCUGAGACACGAAAGCGUGGGUGGCAAACAGG